ensembl:lncRNA
GGGGGUGUAAAAGAGAGAGACAGAGAGAGAGCGAGGGGGGGGUGUAAAAGAGAGAGACAGAGAGAGAGCCAGGAGGGGGGUGUAAAAGAGAGAGACAGAGAGAGAGCGAGGGGGUGUAAAAGAGAGAGACAGAGAGAGAGCGAGGGGGGUGUUAAAGAGAGAGACAGAGAGAGAGCCAGGAGGGUGUUAAAGAGAGAGAGAGAGAGAGCGAGGGGGGGGGUAUUAAAGAGAGAGGAGAAAACACUUGAGCUGUGAUAAAAGCCAUUAGCUUCUUCAGUAAGGUGGAAAAGAUGUUGGUGUGUGUAGAAGGUGUGAAUCCCAUGGGUGAGAAGGCCGACAUCACAGGCAGGCCACUCAGUCACGGAGGACUGGACACGCACAACACAAACCAAUGAGAAAUAGAGCAGAACUCCAGAACCAGA